rnacentral:ncRNA from 1 species
AUCGGGGUGCUGGAAGGCAUAGGGCUUUCCGGCUGAGAUCAAACCCGUUAACCUGAUCCGGAUAAUACCGGCGUAGGGAAGUUCAA